CUGCAGCAGCUUUUUUCAGUCAAUUAUGUUAAGAAAAACCUCAUUCUUCUUACGGUUUUUAACUUGUAAAUAUUGCGCGCAGCGCCCUAUGGUUAUGCAAACGAGAAGCUGAGUCAUCGCCCUUGAAAUUCACGCCGCAGCGUCGGGGCCGGGCUGACGCCUGCGUGGCCUGAAAAAAAAGCCCAGGCUCUAGUCUACGCAGGAAACCCAAGUGAGCUGCUUUUGUUCAUCCGGGCUCUGCGUGUGAUUGCUUUUGGAUGAAGGGUUUUGUUGACCCCGUAAAAAUGACGUCAGGGCUCUAUUUUUGACCUGAAAGGACGUUCACCAAAUAAAUAACGUUAAGCGAAAAAUAAACGGCGGGUUACAAAGAGAUAUGUCAUACGAUCACGCUUUUUCUUCCAAAAAUACACAUGUAUCUCUGUGCUGAGCGCGUACGUGCGUAGAAAAAAGAACGGAAGGUUUACACCAAAAUGCUAAUGGUGGUUCUCUUUGGCGAUUGCGAUUACCAGUGACCUUUUUAAAAAACUCUUUUAUUUUCUGUCCCUUUUUUCAGAAAUCUCUGCACUUAGACUGAGAAAAAUAAAGCCAAUAAAGUGAUUUCGUAACAAGCAAAGAAAAAGACUAGAAGAAAGGAAUAAUAAACACGGCAGAAUUACAAGAGAAAGAAUCGAAGAAGCCAAAAAGUUGGGCUGCUUUCAAAAAACAACGCCUCCCUUCAACUCCUACUUGGUUCCCUGAAACUGCUGCAUUUGUCAUGAGCCUGGUGACACAACCUGGAUUUAAAGAGAAAGGACUGAAGAAAAACCUAGUGCCUACUUUGGGAGCAGUGGAAACCUGCAUGCAUUGUUGGUAGGAGUGUCAAGUGGGACAACCAUCCAUUUUACUUUUAUAAAAGGAAAAAAAAGGCAUUGCCUAUAUUGCUAAAUGAUAACAGGACAAGUUACAAGAUAUAUUUUAAUAUGAUUGGAUGUUUGGCUUAAAAAUAGCUUGUUCAUGAGUGUCUGCUGUCCAUUUGGGUGUAUAGGGAAAAAACUUGAAGACUAUACAACAAAGUGUUAACAGCGGUUACGUCUGGUGGUAAGACAAUAGGUGAUGGUUUUUUACUAUAUCUGUCUGUAAGGUUUUCAAUUAGUAUGUAUUACUUAAUAUGAAACACCAAUAAGGCCAUUUCAUUACACACAAAAAGAGUUGAAAGAAGAAAAUGAAAAAAAGCAGGCAUAAAUGACUUUUAACCAAGAAAGGUUCAAUGAAAACCAAAAAGAUUGAUCAAGAAAGAACAGAAAGAGGGGGGUUUAUGGGAACCUCUUAUUUUUUUAUAAUAUAACCUUUUUUGUCAUGUAUGUAUCUUCAAAAAAAUACAAUUUAUAAAAAUGAUGGGGGUAGGGUGGGGAGUGGGUUAUAUGGGAACUUCUUAUGUUUUUUUAAUGUAACAUUCUGUGUGAUCUAUUAAAUUUAAUUUAAAAUAUGUGUUAAUUAAAAAAAAGAAAGAACAGAAAGAGAAGUUUUAAUAAUAUUGGGGAUGAUAGUGUCGCAAGACAGUUGGCUGUCUUUCCAACAUGAGGGAUCUUUAGUGAUAUAUACAUGAUAUUAGCUACAUAUUUUAUAUAUAUAUAUAUAUAUAUAUAUAUAUAUAUAUAAACUUGUCCAUCUUAAAAAUUUCAGCUGCUUUCCUUUUCUCCUUUAGUCCUAGGAGUGAUAGCUCUUUCCAGAAAUUGCCACU
ensembl:lincRNA